rnacentral:rRNA from 1 species
AACGAACGCUGGCGGCAGGCCUAACACAUGCAAGUCGAGCGCCCUUUCGGGGGAGCGGCGGACGGGUGAGUAACGCGUGGGAAUAUGCCCUUCUCUACGGAAUAGCCUCGGGAAACUGAGAGUAAUACCGUAUACGCCCUAUGGGGGAAAGAUUUAUCGGGGAAGGAUUAGCCCGCGUUGGAUUAGGUAGUUGGUGGGGUAAUGGCCUACCAAGCCGACGAUCCAUAGCUGGUUUGAGAGGAUGAUCAGCCACACUGGGACUGAGACACGGCCCAGACUCGUGGGGGAGGCGGCAGGGGAGAAUCUAAGAAGUGGGGGGCAACCAUGAGUGAGCACUGGCGGGUGAGGGAUGAAGGCCUUGGUGUUGUAAAGCUGUUGACGGUGGGAAUAAAAUGGCUGUACCAGCAGAAGAAGCCCAGGACAACUCCGUGCCAGAAGACGAGUUAAUAGUCAAAGACACACGUCUGAAC